CCUACGGGUGGCAGCAGUCGAGAAUCAUUCACAAUGGGGGAAACCCUGAUGGUGCGACGCCGCGUGGGGGAAUGAAGGUCUUCGGAUUGUAAACCCCUGUCAUGUGGGAGCAAAUUAAAAAGAUAGUACCACAAGAGGAAGAGACGGCUAACUCUGUGCCAGCAGCCGCGGUAAUACAGAGGUCUCAAGCGUUGUUCGGAAUCACUGGGCGUAAAGCGUGCGUAGGCUGUUUCGUAAGUCGUGUGUGAAAGGCGCGGGCUCAACCCGCGGACGGCACAAGAUACUGCGGGACUAGAGUAAGGGAGGGGGAACCGGAAUUCUCGGUGUAGCAGUGAAAUGCGUAGAUAUCGAGAGGAACACUCGUGGCGAAGGCGGGUUCCUGGACAUUAACUGACGCUGAGGCACGAAGGCCAGGGGAGCGAAAGGGAUUAGAUACCCCAGUAGUC
rnacentral:rRNA from 1 species